CACGGGGCGACGGAAUUGAGUGAAUUCAAGUUUUCAUGGUUUCCUUCAUACGCAUCCUGACGGAUGCCCAUCACGAUAGUUUAACUCCUGUGUCCUGACUUAUUCAUUAAGAACCAGAAUGACAAACCAGUCACUCCCACUGAACUGGUGUCCAGAAAAUGACACCACAAUGGGACCCCCAUACAGCAGUACAAGCACAUCUUCCAGCGAUACAAAACAAGAACAGCUUGAUGGUUACUGUGAGGCAGAGAUGACCACUGAAGGAAAUGUAAGUGGACCAACGGCAGAUAGGUUUCAUCUGUGCAGUUACCUGUCUAGCUCACCUGAGGCCUGUCUGCUGUUUGCUAUAAAUGGAGGUCAGCCUGGCUUUAGGGGGUAGAGCAGUUUAUCCAGUGGCAGCUAUCAGGCAGCCCAGGUUAAUGGUUUUAGGUGCUCUCCCUAAACAUUGAGCUUAACUCCAUCCUUUAUGUUGCCGUCAGUGUGACUGCCCGUAACACCAUAUAACACAACAUACAUCAACUUAAAUGCUUUUUGUGGAUCAGACAGUGAGAGCAAAUAAACAAGACUGAAAUGUUGUUGAGUCAUGACAAAUGAAUGUGUGAAAAGUAAAUAAAUAAACCAGCAUAAACAACAGAGGGAAUGAAGGAAAAUAAUCAAAUAGCAGACAAAUUGGAAAAAAGAAAGGGAAAAAUAUUAUAUCUAAUAAAGUAAAAUUAUAGUCUAUGACAGAUUAAGAUCUCAUCUAAUAUAAGGACAGAACUCAUAGAUUCACCCACACCUUACAUUCAGCAUACAUUAUAACAUGGUUGAUUAGAACUUCCCUCUACACGAUCACACUGUCACGACCUCUGUAGUGGCCAUGCAUAGACUGUAGGCAGCAGCGGGGAAGUUAAUUGAUCAUGACUAUAUGACGUUGAUCAUGACAGGGCUAUAAGAACUCCUGUGGAUCUUUCUCCUGCAGCUCAGCUCCUCUCUCAUUCACACAAUUCCCGCUCACCCACACAUCACCAACACGCAUCCAUACAGUAACAUAACAUUGUACCCCUAGACAUGUUCUUUUCUACCUUUAUUUGAUUGUGUUGUGUUGAUUUUAUAAAUUACCCCUUUAUUUAAAAAGCUUUGUUGUCUGUCUCCC